AUUGAUACUACACAUACUUUAAGUUCAUAUGAUAUACAUACAAUUACAAAAAAAAUGAUUUGCUACUCACUUAAAAUGCAUGUCAAGUUUUUUAUUUAAAAAAUUAACAAAAAGUUACAUCCGAAAUUUUAAAAAAAAACUAAAUUAGUGCAUUUUUAGUUUUAAAAUGUUAUGUCCAAAUCUAUUAACUAUUCAAUCUAUUAAAAAUAAAAAAUUAGUUAACUGAAAGUUAUAUUUUUAAAUAUAAGAAACUUGAGAAAUGAAAAUUUUAAUUUUUUUAAAAAAAUUUAAAUAUCCGAACCAGAUCUGAAAUAACCGAAUCCGAACUAAAAAUACCCGAAUCCGACCCAAAGUACAGAAAUACCCGAACGGGUUCUACACCUCUAUACCAAAAUACCCGAUAAUCCGAAAUAUCCAUCCCGAACCCGAACGGGUACCCAAGGCUAAACUAAAUCGAUAAUUAUUAUCCCCUAGCUAUAUAUGGGCUUAACGAAAUCGACAAUAGUUUUGGGCUUGUCUACAUAAGCGAUUGAUUAAAAUAAAUGAAAAAAAAAAUUCAAAAAAACCAGCCAAGAGAAUUAUAACGUUUUUUCCUGAGAAGCUCUAUAUGAGUACCACCUCAACAGAAAUCACUAAAGUGACUUCUCUUUUAAUGUAUAGGGGGAUGGGAUUUGGUAAUUUUCUAAUAUAAAAUAAAAAUAUGCCCUGUUAAUUACAUAAUGAGCUAAUACCAAUUGGAUUGUUCAUUACAAACGAAUUUUAUGUUCUUCUUUUACCAUAUUCAUGCUAAAUCAAUAUUAAUUCUAC
rnacentral:lncRNA from 1 species